rnacentral:rRNA from 1 species
AAUCUUCCGCAAUGGACGAAAGUCUGACGGAGCAACGCCGCGUGAGUGAAGAAGGUUUUCGGAUCGUAAAGCUCUGUUGUUUGAGACGAACGUGCAGUAUACGAAUAAUGUGCUGUAAUGACGGUAUCAAACUAGAAAGCCACGGCUAACUACGUGCCAGCAGCCGCGGUAAUACGUAGGUGGCAAGCGUUGUCCGGAAUUAUUGGGCGUAAAGGGAGCGCAGGUGGGAAUGUAAGUCAGUCUUAAAAGUGCGGGGCUCAACCCCGUGAUGGGACAGAAACUACAUUUCUUGAGUGCAGGAGAGGAAAGUGGAAUUCCUAGUGUAGCGGUGAAAUGCGUAGAUAUUAGGAGGAACACCAGUGGCGAAGGCGACUUUCUGGACUGUAACUGACACUGAGGCUCGAAAGCUAGGGGAGCGA